rnacentral:lncRNA from 1 species
AUUACAAAAAUCUUAAAACAUCCCAGAGAAUCCAAUGAUUUCUGAGGAGUUUAACUUAUUACAACAAUCUUAUCAUAUCUCAGAGAAUCCAAUGAUUGCUGAGGGGAUUCAAUUAUUACAACAAUCUUAUUAUAUCUCAGAGAAUCCAAUGAUUCUUGAGGAGUUUAGGGUAUUACAGCAAUCUCAUUAUAUUCUCAGAAUCCAGAUUCCUGAAGUUUGUAAUUAUUAUAACAAUCUUAUCAUAUCUCAGAGAAUCCAAUGAUUUCUGAGGAGUUUAACUUAUUACAACAAUCUUAUCAUGUCUCAGAGAAUCCAAUGAUUCCUGAGGAGUUUAACGUAUUACAACAAUGUCAACAUGUGUCAGAG